UACGAAGGGUGCAAGCGUUACUCGGAAUUACUGGGCGUAAAGCGUGCGUAGGUGGUUUGUUAAGUCUGAUGUGAAAGCCCUGGGCUCAACCUGGGAAUUGCAUUGGAUACUGGCAGGCUAGAGUGCGGUAGAGGGUAGUGGAAUUCCCGGUGUAGCAGUGAAAUGCGUAGAGAUCGGGAGGAACACCAGUGGCGAAGGCAAUGUUCUGGCUCGUUUCUGACGCUCAGGUGCGAAAGCCAGGGGAGCGAACGGG
rnacentral:rRNA from 1 species